GACGAACGCUGGCGGCGUGCCUAAUACAUGCAAGUUGAACGCAGUUGAGAACGGGUGAGUAACGCGUAGGUAACUGCCUCAUAGUGGGGGACAACUAUUGGAAACGAUAGCUAAUACCGCCUACUGUGAGAUGGACCUGCGUUGUAUUAGCUAGUUGGUGAGGUAAAGGCUCACUAAGGCGACGGUACAUAGCCGACCCGAGAGGGUGAUCGGCCACACUGGGACUGGGACACGGCCCAGACUCCUACGGGAGGCAGCAGUAGGGAAUCUUCGGCAAUGGACGGAAGGCUGACCGAGCAACGCCGCGUGAGUGAAGAAGGUUUUCGGGUUGUAAAGCUCUGGUGUUAGGGAAGCGGUAACUAAACAGAAAGGGACGGCUAACUACGUGCCAGCAGCCGCGGUAAUAC
rnacentral:rRNA from 1 species